GCCCAAAUGGUCUAGUGGUAUGAUUCUCGCUUCGGGUUUAACCCAGUUACUGAGUAACUCUGAUAUGUGGGAGGUCCCCGGUUCAAACCCGGGUUUGGGCC